CAAAAAUAGUGAAGGCUGAGUUUCUCCAUCUUUGGUGGACAGCGCAAAAUGUUUAUUCCAGUGCUGAGUCGCGCCGCGCCUGCACAUACUGUGGCUCGAGGGGCAGUUCCUACGCUGUUUCGACGAGGGUGACGUAGACCAUGAACUCGCGGCACGGUCACUUGGCGGCGGGGAAGGCAGCAGAUAGCCGAUUGUGGCAGCCCUGCAAACUGGCAGUACACAUUUACAAGGUUUGUAGUGGUAGGUUCACUCGUUGCUGUGCCCUGUGUGACCGUGAGUGCUCCAUUAGCUGUGAGAGAGGCGCGGCAAUAGACACUAAAUAGUAGGCAAUUUAAAAUUGUAGGGGGUCCAUAGCUAUGGUGAAUAGGCUGACAGCUGAAGGAUACGUGUAUAGUUGGUUUGAUGCGGAAUCACCUCACACACAUUCUCAUUGGCAUGGCCUCACUGCACCACACAGGUUGUCAAAGAAAACAAGUUUCACAUCUUGGGAGACUCUGUGGGCGAGUUCAGGUGCUUGAGCCUCAGCGUUAGUUGCUGCAUCAUUUCGCUCCCCCGUGGAUGCUUCCUUUUUAUGUUUUUACUUUGAGUCCAUGUCGCUAAUGAUGACUGGCCACUCUCUGCUUGUGGAGGGGCAGUGCAGGCCUUCUCUUCGUCAGCGAGGAGAGCGUUAUUGGAAGCAGGCCCCGUGCGCACCAAGCGUCCCUGCACGUUGCGAACCAUUGGAGGAUCUCUCCUAUGCGCGCCAAGUCACCGUUUCUCCCUGUGUCCAAGAGCAGGAGAGGUCAUCGGCUGGCCGGGUGGUUGCUGGUGCCGAGGCGCUCACGCAGCAUUUUAGGACUAGGUGCCAACAGAUGGGAAAUAGGGAUUCACACCAGAAGUGCAGAGUUUGAGCCUGUCAGCGUCAGUUGCGGAACGCGGACCUGCGGGUGAAUCUGGUUCCACGACUUUUCCCCCUUUUGCGGAGGUGGACACCGCGUGAGAGAGAGCCUUCAGCGACAAUCUCAGCAUGUUGCGUUCAGCCAUCCCCGCCGACCUGAGAUUCGUACUGGGGAAGCCAGAUUCAGCGCGGCAUGACUCAGUGCCGUUGCCGCUCUCGGAUGCAUGUGUGUAAGAACCUGGCUCACAUCAAUGUCAAAAGCUGUGGUCCACUUCCAAUCGAAGUUAGGAGGCGAUGCACCUGUCUGAGCAGGCGGGAAAAUCUGCCUGAAGUCCUCUGUUCAGGAAGAAAGGACAGUAACCUGUGGGUGCCUCACGGGGCUCCACCAGUUCUCUCUUGGUAUUUGGUGCGCUUCCCUGUGUGCGAGCGCCUCAGUGCCGCAAUACACAGCGUAGCGGCAUACAGCAGACGUUCACGCGCUGUCCGGUGUCUUGAUAAUGAG
rnacentral:lncRNA from 1 species